CUGUGCUGAGUUUUUCGAAGGUCAGAGCAGAUUGAACCUUUGUGCUUUCAUUUUUCCUGAUUUUGAUUUUUCUUAUGGGGAUCCACUUUUCCUGCAUUCGAGGUGACUUGAAGAAGCCUUCCAAAAAGCGUGUGAAAAGGGAGCCCUACUCUACUACCAUGUUACAGGUGACUUCAUUGAGCCCAAUCAAUGAAAUUUUGAGAAGAUACAGCCUGUACACCAACCAGCAUUGGAGGCAUCAUGGCUUCUGGAGAAAGAAGAUACAGCCACAAGAAGCCUCUGAGGAGCCUCCAGCUCACAAGGACAGAGGAGGUGGAGAGAGGCCAGUCAACGCGAGGGUGGUGCGGGUGGCCCCUCUGAGGCCUGGUUUUGCUCUUUGUGGGUACGCUGUACAAGACAUCUCUAAAGAAGACACUGUAUAUGACAUCUGUAAUGAGGAUGCUGUAGACAUCUCUGAUGAGGACACUGUAGAUAUCUCUAAUGAGGCUUCUGUACAUGACAUCUCUAAUGAGGCUGCUGUAUGUGACAUCUCUAACGAUGCCGUAAACAUCUCUAAUGAGGCUGCUGUACGUGACAUCUCUAAUGACGCUGUAGACAUCUGUAAUGAGGCUGCUGUACAUGACAUCUCUAAUGAGGACACUAUAGAAGACAUUUCUUAUGAGGACACUGUAUACGACAUCACUAAUGAGGAUGCUGUACGAUACCUCUGUAAAAAAGAUGCUACCAAGGAGCCAUUGACACUGGAGAAUGAUUUGAUUGUGGAGAGCAUGUCUGAUGACGAGGAUUUUGCAGGUUUAUUGGCAUAAUAGUAAGAACUGUCUCUCUGGGCUAUGAGAGUGCUGUGUUAUUUGAAGCUUAAAGGGAGCUCCCGGGGUGAGUGAUGGAGGCGGGAUCGGACCCUGGCAGUUUGACGGCAACACCUGUGUUCCUCUGCACUGGGCCGUGGAUGACAUUACACACCUUGGUGAGAAUCAGGAAUUGAGGCUAAUCACAUCUGAAAUUGAGGGCUUAUGAUUUCUUCUCGGGUUUGAAACAUGCCCCCAGAUGAGCAAGACGGGGCUGCCACAUUGACGGAGCAGCUGCGGGACACACCCAAGAAACCUCCUGGAGAACACAGGGGACAUUCACGGCUGGAGGCUUCAUCUAUGGCCGGGGGCUUCAUCCAUGAGCUGGGGACUUCAUCCAUGGGCUGGGGACUUCAUCCAUGACUGGGGACCUCAUCCACGUCUGGAGACUUCAUCCGCGACUGGGGGCUUCAUCCAUGGGCUGGGGGAUUCAUCCACGGGCUGGGGGCUUCAUCCAUCACUGGGGGCUUCAUCCACGGGCUGGGGGCUUCAUCCAUGACUGGGGGCUUCAUCCACGGGCUGGGGGCUUCAUCCAUGGGCUGGGGGCUUCAUCCAUGACUGGGGGCUUCAUCCACGGGCUGGGGGCUUCAUCCAUGACUGGGGACUUCAUCCACGACUGGAGACUUCAUCCAUAGGCUGGGGGCUUCAUCUACAGCUGGAGACUUCAUCCACAGCAGGGGCUUCAUCCUUGGUUGGUUUGCCUGAUCUGUAUCUGAGCCACAGAUACAGAUUAUUAAACAGAUAAUAAUUUUA